UACGGGGGGGGCAAGCGUUGUUCGGAAUUACUGGGCGUAAAGGGCUCGUAGGCGGCCAACUAAGUCGAACGUGAAAUCCCCGGGCUCAACCCGGGAACUGCGUCCGAUACUGGAAGGCUUGAAUCCGGGAGAGGGAUGUGGAAUUCCAGGUGUAGCGGUGAAAUGCGUAGAUAUCUGGAGGAACACCGGUGGCGAAGGCGGAUCUCUGGGCCUUACCUGACGCUGAGGCGCGAAAGCUAGGGGAGCAAACAGGG
rnacentral:rRNA from 1 species